UCAUGAACUCGGAAGGUCAGGUGUGAGCCCGGAAAUUUUAACCCUUUUCCUUUUCCUUAGCAACCGCUGUACCUCCAACUUGAGGCUGCGCUUAGUUGCGCACAGGCUCAUCUGGAUGCACAGGGUACUUCCUUGUCGAUAUAGGUAGGAUCGAAUACGCUAAGGAAACGUUUUGUGGCUACCUCAGUUUUUUUGUUUUUUUUAAAAUACCGCGACAAGAGGUGACACUGACGUGAACGGAACAACUGCAAAGUUGCGGCUGACAUGGAGACAGCGUCCUGCUAGACCUUGCACCUCCAAGACUGUCCCAGUGGUGACCAGACAGUGCUUUCACGUCUUCUGUCAUGGCUGCAGACCCGCCCAGAAACGGCGGACAGGCAAAUUCUGCAGAGAUCAAAAAGUCGGAACCCAGAGUCAACGAGAAGAAAUGCUCAUGGGCUUCCUACAUGACAAACUCACCCACGGUGAUUGUGAUGAUCGGCCUGCCAGCAAGAGGGAAGACCUACAUGUCCAAGAAGCUGACACGCUACCUCAACUGGAUUGGAGUUCCCACCAAAGUGUUCAACCUCGGCGUGUACCGGCGGGAGGCUGUCAAGGCCUACAAGUCAUACGACUUCUUCAGACACGACAACAAGGAGGCCAUGCAGAUAAGGAAGCAGUGUGCCUUAGUGGCACUGCAGGAUGUCAAGUCCUACCUGAAUGAGGAAGGAGGCCAAAUUGCCGUUUUUGAUGCCACAAACACCACCAGAGAGAGGAGAGACCUCAUCCUUUGUUUUGCGAUGGAGAACUCAUACAAGGUGUUUUUUGUGGAGUCGGUGUGUGACGACCCUGAGGUCAUUGCUGCUAAUAUUCUGGAAGUAAAGGUUUCCAGUCCAGAUUAUCCAGAGAGACACAGGGAGAGAGUGAUGGAUGACUUCCUGAAAAGAAUCGAGUGCUACAAAGUUACAUAUCAACCAUUAGAUCCAGAUGACUACGACAAGGACAUGUCCUUCAUCAAGGUGAUCAACGUGGGCCAGCGUUUCCUGGUGAACCGGGUGCAGGACUACAUCCAGAGCAAGAUCGUGUACUACCUCAUGAACAUCCACGUGCACUCUCACUCCAUCUACCUGUGUCGCCACGGAGAGAGCGACCACAACAUGGAGGGGCGCAUCGGGGGCGAUGCAGAGCUCUCUGCGCGGGGGAAGCAGUUUUCCCAUGCUCUCCGGGGCUUUCUUGAAGAACAGCACCUGCCGGACCUGAAGGUGUGGACCAGCCAGCUGAGGAGGACCAUCCAGACGGCCGAGGAGCUGGGCGUGCCCUACGAGCAGUGGAAGAUCCUCAACGAGAUCGAUGCUGGGGUGUGUGAGGAGAUGACCUAUCAGACGAUCCAGGACUCAUAUCCAGAGGAAUUUGCUCUGAGGGACCAGGACAAGUAUCACUACCGCUACCCCGGAGGAGAGUCCUACCAGGACCUGGUGCAGCGCUUGGAGCCAGUGAUCAUGGAGCUGGAGAGGCAGGGCAACGUGCUGGUCAUCUGCCACCAGGCCGUCAUGCGCUGCCUGCUCGCCUACUUCCUGGACGAGAGCGCAGACGAUUUACCCUACCUGAGGUGCCCCCUGCAUACCGUACUCAAGCUCACCCCGGUGGCUUAUGGAUGUAAGGUGGACACAUUCGACUUGAAGGUUGCCGCUGUUGACACUCACCGGGACAAGCCGUUGGAUAAAGUGGGGAUGGAGCCUGCCCCUGUCCCCAUGAGGAGGAAUAGUUACACCCCCCUGUCCAGUCAUGACCAGGUCAAGCGACCCCGCCUCUACAGCGCCGGCAACAGGCCCGCGGUGCCCCUCGCCCCCCCUCCCACCACCACCCUGCAAUUCAUCGACGCACCAGAGGGGGCAGUGUCGGAGCAGAGCCAACUUCUUCUGGGAAUCGCCCGUCUGUGAGUACCUGAGAGGGCUCGCUUGUGCUGUCAUUUCUCACCCAGAUCAGAUUAACAUAAGCUAGGUCCAGUGACACAGAAAGAAACGGACAAAAGCUUUAAGACUACCAAGUCUAAUUUUAUAAUGAUACGUGCGUAUACAGGUCUGUUGAAUGAGCCAUGUGCUCUUUCCACUUCCUGUUUUAAACUUGGAUGCUAACGCUUUUGUCUGUUACAACGGGACGUAGCCGUACGAAUGUGUCACACAGACACUCGUGCCGAUUGGCUGGCUUGCAGAUUUGUCUCUUAAGCCCUCAAUGACCCAUCGCUCCAUGUAACAUGGAGUGAUGAUGUCACCAAGUAGACUGUCUACAAGGAAUCAUCAUCAAAAAAUACAUGUUAUGCACCUUCAAAGCCUCACUGUCGGUUUCUUCACUAAGAGAGUUGUGCAACUAAAUUACUCCCAAUUUUUCCUAAAAGCCUUUUAUCAUUUACUGUAUUUUUGCCAGUGGUGACCAGGUUAAUUAAUUAACGAGCUUAUUGCCAUCGUCACAGACUGGUGUAUUAAAGGCGCAGUAAAUGUACAGUUUGUAUUGCACAAUUAACACACAGUACUACGUGUGGGAGGCUGUUCAGAAAUGAGUCUGUUGCUGUAAUAUUCCUUUGUUUGUGGGAUUUUCUCCACAGAGCCACCAUCAGUUCUCCAUUUGGUUUUGAGCCUACCACAUAAUAAUAGUGGAGGCAGGUUAAAAGCUGACUCUCAAAAUAAGGAUUUGUGAGCUUAAGGGAUAACUUUGGCGUCCACUGGCUGACUUAUUGCGUGUGCUCACUUUGCAGUGAAUGGCAGUAAUUCAGUAUCAUUUAAUAGCAGAGGCGAAAAUUCCAACAGCCACUGAGCAGACUUUGUUUUGGUCAUGAUUUUUUUCCCUUUCCUGUUUUGUCUCAUGGGUUAUCUUCUUGUAGUUCCCACCAUUUUAGCUUCUUGGGAAUCUUGUUGGUUUUGUUUUGCAGUGCUUUGAUAUAUAGAUAGCAUGCUGCCCUGCUGUAAUCUCUUAGUGUGCUGAGAAAAAUUUCUUAGAGUAGUUAUACGAAGGCUCGACCAUCUGAACUGUUCUGAACCAACCCUGUUUGCAGUCUUUUUACAUGUGGUUUGGUUUCAUGACUGAUUCACAGAGAUGGUCAAGACCUUCAGCUUUCUGCUGCUAUUGAUGUGGUCCGCCAGCUGUUCAUAGUACAGGAAUCAUUCGGCCUCCGCCCAGGAGACUCUGGUGACCGUGUCGGCAUCUGAAUAGCGGGGAGGCGUUUCUCCUCUGCCUCCACCGCCUCUACCUGCUCCUCCAUCUCCUGGGACGCGCCCUCCUCCACCCCGGUUGCUCUGCCCCUCUCCACCUGGUCCCAGGGCCCAUUGACUUUAUUUAGGAGACGGCUCUGCACUCCUUCCAUUUUAGCUCAUAAAGGCAGCUUGUGAGAGCUAAUGAUGCACGUGGGCAGUAGGCCACAUCCUAUGCUUCUGGGAAAAGUAACUGCUAAUUCAGCUCUUUAUUCCUCUUACUGGUGUACAAGAGAGCAACCGAUGCCUUAUAUUAAUGAAUGUAAUUCGAUGGAACACUUAGCCACAACAUGUCAGCAAAUGAAAGGCUUUGGAGAUCAGGGAAAUGGAGAUUGUCUUGUUUGUGUACAAUUACCCGUUAGCCAAUCAGUGCGUCUCCGUGUUAGUCUGUUAUUCAGUUAUAGUUGUUUGGCGGGAAUACUCAGAGGAACAAGAUCAUAAAUGUGUCAGUUACAGUGUACCGAUUUAUCCAUGAAAUCGUUAUUUCCUUUUGGAAUUUUGUUUGUCAUAGAAGCGCCUUGGAUUUCCGAUAAGCUUCGAAUCCAGAGUCUAAACAACAUUCUGGUGUUAAAAUAGUCCCUAGGAAUGUUUGUGGUAAGGAAGGGUGGAUGUGUGUUUGUUUUAUACAUGUGAGGUCACAGCUGUAAGGUCAGGAUGGUGGGGAUUAAAGUAAUUUAUCUGUUUUAUGAAAAGUGAUAAAAUGGCGCAUUAGUGCACCCUCCAUCAGCUCUUCUAUUCGGAGAUGUGCGUUCAGUUGAGGGGCAGCGUUUGCCUCGACAUGAUGGCAAUCGAGACGGUCAUCGUUUAAUUUGUGUUUUGCCGGAAGGCGGCCACCACCCGUAAUCACACACUGUAUAUUUUAUUAUAUGUCAUCAGGAAAGUAAAAUUAAAGACUGUGGGAUUGAUCUUUGGGUUCUAAAAGCCUGCUGAAAAAAUCUCUAAUAUGUGCCUUACCUUUAAAAACCGUUGCAAUUCAUGUUCCUACCUUUCAUGUCUUCAACUGAACUCUGUAAUCCAUAAUUGAUUCAUGUCUUUGAGGUGCCUCUGCCCAGGGCAUAUCCAGCAGUCCUUUUAACAGGAGAAACUGAGAGCAGGGCCAGAUUAUUAAAUCAGCCAAUCAGGUCCUUUGAGCAGCUUUAAAAAUAUCUUGCUGCUUUUCCUAAGAAUUGCCAACAAUUUUAAAGGUAAGGAGUAAUUGCUGGGAGCUGUUAGAGUUACCAUAUAGUUUAUUGUUAUUAUUAUUAUUGUUGUUGUUAUUUCAAAGAAUGUGAUAAUUUGUUGAAUGUGUUGAGUCUAUUAGAAAAUUCAAUUUUUGCAUGAGAAAUGACACUAAUUAUAUUGAGGCUCAGGGAUGCUACGAUGGUGCAAUUCACAAGAAGUCUUGAGGCAUGUCAGUUGUGAAAGUGAUACUGUGCAUAGCUUUACUCAUUCACCUCUGUUCUGUGGUCUGUGGUACGAAAAUCUGUUGUGAGGAUUUGCACAAUGAUUCCAUUCCUUGUAACUGCAACUCGGCCAGUGAAUUCCCUGUCUGCAGCAAUCCUAUAUCUUGGAGCAUAAAAAAAUCUAAUGUAUAUUGCGAAUUAAAUUAAUGCUUGACUAAUUUUAUUAACCUUUUAAGAUAAAUCCUGUUGAUUGACCUGAUUAGAUUACUCCUGGUACUGUGUGCUCUUACCAGUAGAAGCUGUAUGUUUGUUGAUUUUUUGUUGUUGUUGAUUCCCUGAUAUGCCUGUAUAUUUCCAGCAAACAUACCCGAUGCUUGGCUAGUUAGGAGUGCUGUGAUUACACACGUUUGUUCUUGCUGGGAAGCGAGCGGGGCGUGUCCGAUGUGUCGGAGCGAUUGUGUUUGCGUGCCUUGGGGACAGAUGUGCAUGGAGCUUUUUUGGGAAGGUGCGUCUGGCUCGCACGCAUGUGGGCAGAGCCCUUUCAGCGGCACAAAGGCAGGCACUGUUAAAAGCCGCAGGCGCGUGUCUGCUUGUGCUGAAAUCAUACCAUGACUGCGCUCACUUUUCUUAGGAAAAUCCGGCUUAACCGUCAGGCCUGCCUGCGACUGUUCCCGCUAACCGACUGCUGUAAUACCUCUGCGGAUCUCAAACUGGAGCAAUGUGACCUGCUCAUGGCCAGGAGUAAUAAAUUGCAUUGAGUGA